UGUCCCACCGGGAUCCAGUUGCAAAGU
rnacentral:piRNA from 1 species